rnacentral:rRNA from 1 species
GAUUGAACGCUGGCGGCAGGCCUAACACAUGCACGUCGAGCGGAUGAAGGGAGCUUGCUCCUGGAUUCAGCGGCGGACGGGUGAGUAAUGCCUAGGAAUCUGCCUGGUAGUGGGGGAUAACGUCCGGAAACGGGCGCUAAUACCGCAUACGUCCUGAGGGAGAAAGUGGGGGAUCUUCGGACCUCACGCUAUCAGAUGAGCCUAGGUCGGAUUAGCUAGUUGGUGGGGUAAAGGCCUACCAAGGCGACGAUCCGUAACUGGUCUGAGAGGAUGAUCAGUCACACUGGAACUGAGACACGGUCCAGACUCCUACGGGAGGCAGCAGUGGGGAAUAUUGGACAAUGGGCGAAAGCCUGAUCCAGCCAUGCCGCGUGUGUGAAGAAGGUCUUCGGAUUGUAAAGCACUUUAAGUUGGGAGGAAGGGCAGUAAGUUAAUACCUUGCUGUUUUGACGUUACCAACAGAAUAAGCACCGGCUAACUUCGUG